rnacentral:rRNA from 1 species
UACGAAGGGGGCUAGCGUUGCUCGGAAUCACUGGGCGUAAAGGGUGCGUAGGCGGGUCUUUUAAGUCAGGGGUGAAAUCCUCGGAGCUCAACUCCCAGAACUGCCCUUUGAUACUGAGGAUCUUGAGUUCGGGAGAGGUGAGUGGAACUGCGAGUGUAGAGGUGAAAUUCGUAGAUAUUCGCAAGAACACCAGUGGCGAAGGCGGCUCACUGGCC